CACGUAGGGGGCGAGCGUUGUCCGGAUUUAUUGGGCGUAAAGGGCUCGUAGGCGGCUCAGUAAGUCGGGUGUGAAACCUCCAGGCUCAACCUGGAGACGCCACUCGAUACUGCUGUGGCUAGAGUCCGGUAGGGGAGCGUGGAAUUCCUGGUGUAGCGGUGAAAUGCGCAGAUAUCAGGAGGAACACCAGCGGCGAAGGCGGCGCUCUGGGCCGGUACUGACGCUGAGGAGCGAAAGCGUGGGGAGCAAACAGG
rnacentral:rRNA from 1 species